UCUGAUGUUUUGAUUUGAAAUAAUCAAUACUAAAACAUUUUGCCCCAACUCAUUUGAUUUGAAUGUUACUGAUUUUUCAGAAGGCACAGCCUCAACCAUUCUGGCAAUGUGCUUGGUUUAUUUUCAGAUUUGCGAGGUGACCAGUUUCCAGACAUUGGUUCGCUCCUGCUUGUGUACGCGAUUGGCCGAGACUAAAAAAACUGUAGUGUGCCACCUUAAGGUUUUAGUCGUUUGCUUGUAAGGCAAGAUGGUCCCUGGAGAAGAACUAAAAUACGUCAACAGCCUUGUCAGCGGAAAGACACUCCGUUGCAGUAACUGAAGGUAAAACGACAUCUUCAGUGGGCUAGAUUUGCGAGGUGACCAGUUUCCAGACAUUGGUUCGCUCCUGCUUGUGUACGCGAUUGGCCGAGACUAAAAAAACUGUAGUGUGCCACCUUAAGGUUUUAGUCGUUUGCUUGUAAGGCAAGAUGGUCCCUGGAGAAGAACUAAAAUACGUCAACAGCCUUGUCAGCGGAAAGACACUCCGUUGCAGUAACUGAAGAUUUGCGAGGUGACCAGUUUCCAGACAUUGGUUCGCUCCUGCUUGUGUACGCGAUUGGCCGAGACUAAAAAAACUGUAGUGUGCCACCUUAAGGUUUUAGUCGUUUGCUUGUAAGGCAAGAUGGUCCCUGGAGAAGAACUAAAAUACGUCAACAGCCUUGUCAGCGGAAAGACACUCCGUUGCAGUAACUGAAGAUUUGCGAGGUGACCAGUUUCCAGACAUUGGUUCGCUCCUGCUUGUGUACGCGAUUGGCCGAGACUAAAAAAACUGUAGUGUGCCACCUUAAGGUUUUAGUCGUUUGCUUGUAAGGCAAGAUGGUCCCUGGAGAAGAACUAAAAUACGUCAACAGCCUUGUCAGCGGAAAGACACUCCGUUGCAGUAACUGAAGAUUUGCGAGGUGACCAGUUUCCAGACAUUGGUUCGCUCCUGCUUGUGUACGCGAUUGGCCGAGACUAAAAAAACUGUAGUGUGCCACCUUAAGGUUUUAGUCGUUUGCUUGUAAGGCAAGAUGGUCCCUGGAGAAGAACUAAAAUACGUCAACAGCCUUGUCAGCGGAAAGACACUCCGUUGCAGUAACUGAAGAUUUGCGAGGUGACCAGUUUCCAGACAUUGGUUCGCUCCUGCUUGUGUACGCGAUUGGCCGAGACUAAAAAAACUGUAGUGUGCCACCUUAAGGUAAAACGACAAAUUUCCAAA